UACAGAGGUGGCAAGCGUUGUUCGGAAUUACUGGGCGUAAAGGGCGCGUAGGCGGUUCGAUAAGUCCCGUGUGAAAUCCCUCGGCUCAACUGAGGAAUGGCACGGGAAACUGACGGGCUUGAGUUCGGGAGAGGGAAGCGGAAUUCCGGGUGUAGCGGUGAAAUGCGUAGAUAUCAGGAGGAACACCGGUGGCGAAGGCGGGUCUCUGGGCCGAUACUGACGCUGAGGAGCGAAAGCGUGGGGAGCGAACAGG
rnacentral:rRNA from 1 species